GACGAACGCUGGCGGCGUGCUUAACACAUGCAAGUCGAACGGAAAGGCCCUGCUUUUGUGGGUUGCUCGAGUGGCGAACGGGUUAGUAACACGUGAGUAACCUGCCCUUGACUUUGGGAUAACUUCAGGAAACUGGGGCUAAUACCGGAUAGGAGCUCCUGCUGCAUGGUGGGGGUUGGAAAGUUUCGGCGGUUGGGGAUGGACUCGCGGCUUAUCAGCUUGUUGGUGGGGUAGUGGCUUACCAAGGCUUUGACGGGUAGGCGGACUGAGAGGGGGACCGGCAACAUCGGGAAGGAGAUACAGCCGAGACUACGACGGGAGGCAGCAGUUGGGAAUAGUGGACAACGGGCGGAAGACUGAUGUAGCAACGCCGCGUGAGGGAUGACGGGUGUUGGGAGAAAAACCGCUUUCGCAUGUGACGAGGAGUGAGUGACGGUAAUGGGUAAAGAAGCACCGGCUAAAUACGUG
rnacentral:rRNA from 1 species